CCACAGCACUACCUGGUCAGA
rnacentral:miRNA from 1 species